GCACUCGCUUUGGCAGCACAUAUACUAAAGUUGGAGUGACACGGAGAAGAUCAGCAUGGCAUCUGCACAAGGAUGACACACAAAUUCAUGAAGUGUUUCAUAUUUUA
ensembl:snRNA U6 U6 spliceosomal RNA